rnacentral:sRNA from 1 species
CUUUCCGGCUGGAAUGGGGAAUUUGUGAGGUAGGCCGGAAGUGGUGUUGCGGAGGGAACUGUGGGGAGAGCAGAGGGGCAGCUCUGCUGGAGAGACCUGAGGCUUGCAUCGCUGGGCCCGGCCGGGUCGCUGCGGCUGGGCUGGAGGUGAGGCGAAAGAAGGGCAUCCUCUGAUGGGAGUGGACCGGAGUCCGCUAAAGCGAAGCAUUCCAGGGUCAAGGAUGCAUUCCAGGAAAGUUCUAUAAAAAUAUACCAUCAACUCCAACCUGAUAUUUGACCUAGCCAUGGAAAACCUCAUUGGCUCCUCACUGGAUCAGACCAUAAAAAUGAUCCAGGAAUGAAAAUCUAAGAUAAAUUCCCACCACUUCAAGAUGUUCUUAUACAAGUCAACAGUCUAGCAGAUCAGCCAGUCUCUUUCAUCAUCAAGCAGACAUACUCAAGUGCCAAUUAUAACAUUUUAAUCAAACUGGAACAAAUUGCUAUUAAAAUGGAUCAUUUCUUUAUUAAAAGAAAGAGGAAUAGUGAAGUGAAAUACACAGAAGCAUGUUCAAGUUCAUCUGUUGAAUCUGGAAUUGUGAAUAGUGACAAUAUUGAGAAAAAUACUGACUCCAAUCUGCAAACUUCAACUUCAUUUGAGCCACAUUUCAAAAAGAAA